GCACAGGGGGGUGAACGGCCGCUGCCUGUGGAGGAGCCCAAGCAGCAGUGAGGCUGUGCCAGGGCUUGAAUUAAGUGUGAGGAAGAAUUUGGACCUACCUAGUGCUUAAGAAGCCUGCGCACGGAGGGAGCGGGAGCCCAGACGGUGUUAAGUGGGACGCUCCUGCUGCUCCUGGUUGCUGGGCCAGUACUGGCUCAUGAGCAGAGGAGGAUGGUGCCUUACUCUUGUGGGAAUCAUUUCCAACCUAAGGGCCCCGCGCUGUUUACACAGGCCGGCAACUCCUGGCGCUCCAGCACCUGCACCCAGGAUGGGCACAGAGGGAAGCAAAAGCUGCGGUGUACAGCAUGUUGGAGUGAUUAUUGAUCAGCUAGUUCUUCAGCCCAAGAGCUUUUCAUAUCCAUCUUCCGAUGCCUAGGAUCACCAGGGAUGCUACGGUUAUUUGAGCUGCCAGGAAGGAAUGGAAUAAAUGCGGAACACGCAGGGCAUCCCCCUGCCUUUUCUUGGUUGUAAGUUUUUGAUUUACCAUUCUUCACUGUUGCAAUCAAUAGCAACUUAGAUAAUAAGGAAG
rnacentral:lncRNA from 1 species